rnacentral:rRNA from 1 species
UACGUAGGGGGCAAGCGUUGUUCGGAUUCACUGGGCGUAAAGGGUGCGUAGGUGGCUUGAAAAGUUUGAUGUGAAAGCUCAGGGCUUAACCCUGAAAUGGCAUUGAAAACUGUCGGGCUGGAGGUUUGGAGGGGGGACUGGAAUUCUUGGUGUAGCAGUGAAAUGCGUAGAUAUCAAGAGGAACACCGGUGGCGAAGGCGGAUCUCUGGGCCUUACCUGACGCUCAGGUGCGAAAGCUAGGGGAGCGAACAGG